rnacentral:rRNA from 1 species
UACGAAGGGGGCUAGCGUUGUUCGGAAUUACUGGGCGUAAAGGGCGCGUAGGCGGCGUGUCAAGUCAGGCGUGAAAGCCCCGGGCUCAACCUGGGAACCGCGCUUGAGACUGGCAUGCUCGAGUUCGGGAGAGGAUGGUGGAAUUCCCAGUGUAGAGGUGAAAUUCGUAGAUAUUGGGAAGAACACCGAUGGGGAAGGCAGCCAUCUGGACCGACACUGACGCUGAGGCGCGAAAGCGUGGGGAGCAAACAGG